GAUGAACGCUGGCGGCGUGCCUAAUACAUGCAAGUCGAGCGAACAGACGAGGAGCUUGCUCCUCUGACGUUAGCGGCGGACGGGUGAGUAACACGUGGAUAACCUACCUAUAAGACUGGGAUAACUUCGGGAAACCGGAGCUAAUACCGGAUAAUAUAUUGAACCGCAUGGUUCAAUAGUGAAAGACGGUUUUGCUGUCACUUAUAGAUGGAUCCGCGCCGCAUUAGCUAGUUGGUAAGGUAAAGGCUUACCAAGGCAACGAUGCGUAGCCGACCUGAGAGGGUGAUCGGCCACACUGGAACUGAGACACGGUCCAGACUCCUACGGGAGGCAGCAGUAGGGAAUCUUCCGCAAUGGGCGAAAGCUUGACGGAGCAACGCCGCGUGAGUGAUGAAGGUCUUCGGAUCGUAAAACUCUGUUAUUAGGGAAGAACAAAUGUGUAAGUAACUAUGCACGUCUUGACGGUACCUAAUCAGAAAGCCACGGCUAACUACGUG
rnacentral:rRNA from 1 species